rnacentral:sRNA from 1 species
GGUAUUGUUUACCCCAUUUGAAAGGCCCCGGAACCUUCCAAAUACCUUCGAUGGACCGGAACAUCCAUCACUAAUGUAAACAAAAA